rnacentral:rRNA from 1 species
GACGAACCGAGCGAACGUUGUUCGGAAUCACUGGGCUUAAAGGGCGCGUAGGCGGGUGCUCAAGUCCGGGGUGAAAUCCUCCAGCUCAACUGGAGAACUGCCUCGGAUACUGGGUGUCUCGAGUGUGGUAGGGGUAUGCGGAACUAUCGGUGGAGCGGUGAAAUGCGUUGAUAUCGAUAGGAACUCCGGUGGCGAAGGCGGCAUACUGGACCACUACUGACGCUGAUGCGCGAAAGCCAGGGGAGCAAAGCGGG